UUUUUCACCGAUUGCCCUUUUCCGUGCUUCUUUCUUUUGAAUUUUCGAGUUGUCGAAUUUUUAUUUUUCUUUCUUUUUCUCGAUUCAUCAUUUUUUUCUUUUUCUCUUGUUUUUGCACUUUCUUGGGCUUUGAGAGCUUUUGGGGUUUUUUUACCCCAAACUUAGCUUUUCAACAUAGCUUUGAAUGCAUUAUCAUGACUCUGAACAGGGUGAGGAAGUGUUUUGGCUAAGGUUACAUUUAU
rnacentral:lncRNA from 1 species